CCAAGUGCCUCGUGUUUCCGUCUGACCCCCGACCUGACGGAAACACGGGGCACUCUC
rfam:Mycobacterium llatzerense strain CLTC14 Mllat_contig000012, whole genome shotgun sequence.